rnacentral:rRNA from 1 species
UACGGAGGGUGCAAGCGUUAUCCGGAUUCACUGGGUUUAAAGGGUCCGUAGGUGGCCAACUAAGUCAGACGUGAAAUCCCUCAGCUUAACUGGGGAACUGCGUCUGAGACUGGAUGGCUUGAGUGCAGGAGAGGAAUGCGGAAUUCCAGGUGUAGCGGUGAAAUGCGUAGAUAUCUGGAGGAACACCGGUGGCGAAGGCGGCAUUCUGGACUGCAACUGACACUGAACGACGAAAGCCAGGGGAGCAAACGGG